rnacentral:lncRNA from 1 species
AGGUACCAUCUGCUGACUUCCCACAUCAGAAGCAGAAUGAUCUUCAACCCAAGACACAGGCAAAGAGAGCAUCUAACUGCUUAAAAUGAGAGCAGGAAUGGCUGUUGGCUUAGAUAGAUGGCACCCCAGAGUCCUGAAAGAACUUGCAGAUGUGAUCACAGGACCAUCUGAACCGGAGAAACCGGGGGGAAUGGAGAGACAGCAAAAGACCGGAGAUGGGAAUCUACUUACCAAGAUGGCAGGAGCAAGUGGUUAUCAGAGCCUGCUCUCUAGAAAUACAAUUAAACAAGCAGCCCCUGUCUCUUUUUCUCCACUUUCAGUCUUGGGGAAGGGAUUGGAAUAUGUGAGCAGGAGAGAAGGGUCAUGUUGGAGCAGCCAGGACUCAGAGCCUUUCCGCAGACUGAGUCUGGAUCCUUUCCUUCAGCCUCCAGGAAUACUCCCGGCUCCACACCCAGAAUGGUAAUCCAGGCAAGGGCUCUGGUGUGUGGCCACACUGCCACCUAUUACCUGCGGGUCCAAAUGCAGUGACUCAACUUCUCUGUGCCUCUCUUUCCACAUGUAUAAAAUGAGGAUAAUGUUGCUAUUGUAAGAAUUGCAUCAAUUAAUAAACAGCACUCAGUGAA